rnacentral:lncRNA from 1 species
CCAGAUUCGGUACAGUGGGAAUACCUGAGGGAAGAGUUUCAGAGUUAUUUGAGGAGCAGGGACGCCCACGGGUUCCAACCAAUGCCCUCCUUACUUGUUUUGUGUUUCGUUUUAGUUAUUAGCGAUGCGGUUGGAUGAGACUUUGUUGUUUCAUAUGAAAGAAUUUGCUUUGAGGGAGCCGGGAGCAGCACUACAAUCCGCAGGGUUGUUUAUUUUAAAUAGGGCUCUGCACGGUGUUAUUUAUGACACCGUGAUGUUGACACUUCGAGUUCUUUUAAAGUUAUAUUUUUAUUUGCAUUCCUGUGUGAGGGAAGGGAGGGGGAGAGGAUGGGAGGAGCUUCCUGUGUGCAAGCCUGCAGGUGCGCCAGUGCUCAGCAGAGGGCACUGAAUGCUGCGGCACUCGGGUUAACAGAUGGUAGUGAGCUGUCUGAACUACUUAAAAUUUUCAGGUAAAAGGGCAGCAAGCAUUCUUAAACUGCUGAGCGGCCCUCUAGGUGUUCUUUGCUGGGGCAGGGGAGUUAGCAGGGAGGAAGUGGAGAGAACUGGGAGAGUUGAGACCCUCCUUCUGAGCGUUAAGCUGCAUGUAGAUAAUAUCUGCAGGUGUGGCACAAUUGAAAAGGCAGUGGCUUUCAGGCUAGUCACUGCACGGACUAGUAAGGCAGCUCUCUUGCUCCCAGCACCGUGCAUCUGAUUCUCCGUUCUCAGGUGUUUCAACAGCACACCGUGGGACAAUAGUAACAGGGCCAAAG